rnacentral:rRNA from 1 species
CCUACGGGAGGCAGCAGUGAGGAAUAUUGGUCAAUGGACGAGAGUCUGAACCAGCCAAGUAGCGUGAAGGAUGACUGCCCUAUGGGUUGUAAACUUCUUUUAUAUGGGAAUAAAAUGUUCCACGUGUGGGAUUUUGUAUGUACCAUAUGAAUAAGGAUCGGCUAACUCCGUGCCAGCAGCCGCGGUAAUACGGAGGAUCCGAGCGUUAUCCGGAUUUAUUGGGUUUAAAGGGAGCGUAGGUGGAUUGUUAAGGCAGUUGUGAAAGUUUGCGGCUCAACCGUAAAAUUGCAGUUGAAACUGGCAGUCUUGAGUACAGUAGAGGUGGGCGGAAUUCGUGGUGUAGCGGUGAAAUGCUUAGAUAUCACGAAGAACUCCGAUUGCGAAGGCAGCUCACUGGACUGCAACUGACACUGAGGCUCGAAAGUGUGGGUAUCGAACAGGAUUAGAUACCCCAGUAGUC